rnacentral:rRNA from 1 species
AGAGAUUGGGGAGUGCUCGAAAGAGAACCAGUACACAGGUGCUGCAUGGCUGUCGUCAGCUCGUGUCGUGAGAUGUUGGGUUAAGUCCCGCAACGAGCGCAACCCUUGUCAUUAGUUGCUACGAAAGAGCACUCUAAUGAGACUGCCGGUGACAAACCGGAGGAAGGUGGGGAUGACGUCAAGUCCUCAUGGCCCUUAUGGGUAGGGCUUCACACGUCAUACAAUGGUACAUACAGAGGGCCGCCAACCCGCGAG